rnacentral:rRNA from 1 species
GACAGCAGCCGCCGCGGGAAUACAGAGGGUGCGAGCGUUAAUCGGAUUUACUGGGCGUAAAGCGUGCGUAGGCGGCUAAUUGAGUCGGAUGUGAAAUCCCCGAGCUUAACUUGGGAAUUGCAUUCGAUACUGGUUAGCUAGAGUGUGGGAGAGGAUGGUAGAAUUCCAGGUGUAGCGGUGAAAUGCGUAGAGAUCUGGAGGAAUACCGAUGGCGAAGGCAGACAUCUGGCCUAACACUGACGCUGAGGUACGAAAGCAUGGGGAGCAAACAGGAUUAGAUACCCGCGUAGUCCCUGUCUCUUAUAC